AGCGGAUUCUCAAUCUCAGCCACUCGCUUAGGUCUUCCUGAUGCUGGUUUCAUUUCUUACGGUGAAAUCCUCGAUCAAGGCCGUCUUGUUACUCAAGCUGUCAAUAUUCCUGUUAUUGGUGAUGCUGAUAAUGGUUAUGGUAAUUCCAUGAAUGUUAAGAGGACUGUUAAGGGUUUUAUUCAUGCUGGUUUUGCUGGUAUCCUUCUUGAAGAUCAGGUAAUCGAUUCACUAUUUCAAGAUGUAUUUGUCAAUUAGUAAGAAUCAUUUAUUAAGAAUGCUGUUCCUUUAAUUGAUCCAUAUUGUGCAAUGUGUUGCUAAUAUAUAUAUAUAAUGGUAAUUAGAUGUCACCAAAAGCAUGUGGGCUCACACGCGGGCGGAAAGUGGUGUCGAGAGAGGAGGCGGUUAUGAGAAUUAAAGCGGCAGUUGAUGCUAGAAGUGAGAGUGGAUCUGAUAUUGUGAUUGUGGCUCGCAGCGAUGCACGCCAAGGCGUGUCUCUUGAAGAGGCACUGGUGAGGACAAAGCUUUUUGCAGAUGCUGGAGCUGAUGUUUGUUUUAUAGAUGCACUUGGUUCUGUUGAAGAGAUGAAAGCUUUUUGUCAAGUUGCUCCUCGUGUUCCUAAACUGGUGCGUUUGUGUGUGUGUCGUGUAAUCUUGUUAGUUUUAAAUAAAUAAAUAAAAUAGACGCGUAAAUGUCAAUGUUUUGAAAUUGUAGGAGUAUAUCAACUUGGUCUUUCUUAUUAUCAAUAUUUUAAAGUGAUUGUUGAAAUUGCAACAUAUUAUUAUUCAGAUUAGUUCCUCUGUUUGUAUUUGUGGGAACUGUAACAACAUUAAGUUGGUAAUGUCAAACCAAGUAAAAUUGCAUAUGAUAAGAGAUCCUGACCCAGGGACGAAUUUGAUCAUCAAUUUACAAUUCCAUAUAUCAUUUUAGAAUAUUGGUAAAUGUAGAAAACCAUGUUGAAACGGUCCUUCAAUUCUAAGACAUCUUGAGUAUUUACUGUUAAGUUAAUAUAAAUGUUGGUUUGGUUGACUUGUUGUGGUGUACUCUGUGUUUGUGAAUGUUUGUAGGCGAAUAUGCUUGAACGAGGUGGAAAAACACCAAUACUUAAUCCUCAAGAACUUGAUCAAGUUGGUUAUAAACUCGCUGUUUAUCCACUUUCUUUGAUGGGGGUUUCUAUACGUGCAAUGCAGGUAACAAUUCACAUGUAUUUCUAUACUUUCCCUUUAAUGUUCCCUUUGAUAAUAAUAUAGGACAUGCUAAGUGAGAUAGUAAUAUACAACUGUCUUUGUGAAUGACUGUUUUACACGAGUUACAUCUUUCAAUAGCUGUUUUCAUAAGCUAUCUUGGAGAGCUUAUGAAAAUAUGUUGAAAACAGCUUAUGAACUUGUCAUAAGUUCUCCCAAAUAGCCUCACAAGUGUUUAUGCCAGUAGAUAAGCUCAAAUAAGUCAAUCCAAUCAGACCCUUAAUUAAGUGCUUAUGCCAUACAGCACAAACACUUCUGUAUAAACUAUUCUUGUAACAGUACGUAAAAUAAAGUCAAACUGUUUUUUAUAAGCUGUUUUCAUAAGCUAUCCAGGAAACGUAAUGAAAAUAAGUUAUUACCAAAAGCUUUGCCAAAUAGUCUCACAAUGCUUAUCUUAGUAGAUAAGCUCAAAUAAGUCAAAUCCUAAUAUACCCUAAUUAUGAACGGGGUUUUAUUAUUUGCUAAAGAGGCUAAUGUUGAGAUGCUAAUUUUUCAAUAUUUAUGGGAAGUGUUUGUAGCAAACCCUUCAAACACGGGGCAUUUUCUUUGUUUUUAUUUCUGCAAUGAGAAUAGUGUUUUGGAGUUCUGUCUUUCAAAAUGAUCAACUGUUAUGCUAUUUCUGCCUUGUUUUUCCUCUCACUGUCAACCAUUUAAAGGGAAUUUUGUUAACUUCAUAUUGGUUCUAAUACAUGCAAAAUGGUACUAUUAUAUACUUCUUGGAUUGGUUGAUGUGGAAGCAAAUUUUCUUGGUAAGUAUCUUUGAUGGUAGCGAAUAUGAUCAAUAUUUAGAAAGUAUUGGUCGUAUUGAUACAUUUAUAUUUGCAAUCUGCUUAAACAAUACUACUAGUUUGGAUUAUCUUCCAGAUUAAGGAAGCUUCUCAAUUGAAAUAAGUAUUUAGGUUCUAAUUUAUGAGGACCAAAAACUAAUAAGUUUAUAGGUGUUUAUGGAAAAGUUGAAGUGCAUGUUCAAGUGCAUAAGUUGUUUUCUACUACUGAGAGACACUAUUAGUUAUAACACUCAAAAUCAUUUGAAAUUGUCAAAAAGUUUAACAAAACUAGCUUUAUGUUGACUUUUUCUCGUCUUAGUUUCAAUGACUAACAGAACAAUUUUCACCUUAUGUACAGUUGUGAAGGCAUAUCAAUACACCUCACUUACUAGUGUGAUGCUACCUGACUGCUGGUCCAUUCCAUGCGUCAUGCUUCUUACAUGGAUUUUCUUGAAAACAAAAUAUAGAUUCAAGAAGAUAACUGGGGUAAUUGUUUGCAUAGCUGGCCUUGUUCUGGUUGUAUUUUCGGAUGUUCAUGCCGGUGACCGUGCAGGUAGGUGGCUUUAUGUCUUGUGACUAUACCUAAAAACUUAUGCACACAUGUAUGCAUUCGCUACUGCACUCUCCAUAUCUUUUUUCUUGGAAGCCAUGCAGCGAGUAAAAUUUGAUCCUGUCUUUUAUUAUCGCCAGUAACAUGCAUCAUUCAAUUUAUGGUGUUUGUCUGAUAAUCUCAUUUAACGUGUCAUAGGUGGAAGUAAUCCUCGUCUAGGAGACGUUCUUGUCCUCGUCUAGGUGGAAGCAAUCCUAUCUUUUUUUUCUGAUGAUGUUUCAUUGUAUUGCAGAGGUUUCGGAGACGAGGAUUAACACCCUGCUAAUGCUGUUGAAAAACCUCUUGCAAUCAGACAGGACGAGGAAGCCAGUUCAGCAAAUCAUAGCAAAGGAAAUGUGGCUGGGAGCUCAAAAACCUGGGUAGCUUAAAGAAAGUAUAAACAUAUAGAUCCGUGCAUGGGAAAACCAUGAGGAAGAGCCUCCUUAAGGAGUGGGCUGUUCUAAAUUAUUAUUCAAUGCUCCUCGGGGAGUGCAAUGCCGGAAGCACUCGUUUUGCUUAUACCAUACUCAACCUUUCUCUGCUAACUCCCAGUUUUUGUCCCAAGAUUCAGAAACUGAUAUUCUGGCUGACAUUCUUCCUCCUGCACCAAUACCUGAGAUGACAUCACAGCAGAACAGUUCAGCUCCUACUUUUGACCAACUUUCACCUUCCUUUUCAAAUUCAUCUGGACCAUUUUCCGAACCAACUGGUCAACUUACUCCUCGUCAAGGUUUCUCAUGUGCAACCAAUCAACCUGCACAAACCCUUCCAAGUGGUCAAUUUUCCCAGCCAGGCUUUUCAGCGUCUAAUCCAUCUUUUUUUCAGCCUUUACCAGUCCAUAUGCACAACAACCCUUUCCUUCUCAUUCUGGUCAACCUGUCAUGCCUGGGUUUUCGUCAUCUACUGGCCAUUCUAUGCAGCCACCUUUUUCUUCUCAAGGUGGUCAAUCUACUGCACAAACAAGUGAUCAUACCUACGAUGGAUUGUACUCCUUGGAUACAUCUCAAUCACAAAAUGGAUAUAACGGAUCUAUGAACAGUGGGAACUACUUGCCACAGGGACCCUGAACAUGCUUUCCUUCGAAAAUGACUUCCCAAGCUCCAACAGCACAACCAGCACAAAUCACAAACUUUCCCCAUCAUGGAGGAUCUACUGCUGCUCCCUCUCCAACUGAUCGAGUAUCACAGUUCAACAACCAGAGCUUCUUUGGAUAACUAGGGAAUGCAGCUCCCUUUAGCUCAUCAUAUACCCAUCAAGUGCCUGCUCCCAAUGCUUCAACGUAUGCUGUUUCAGCGACACCGCAUUCUUUAGUUUCUCAACCAUCCAAAGAUAAGUUGAAACAAAAAUCAACAGUUUGGGCCGACACAUUAAGCAGGGGACUGGUUAAUUUAAACAUAUCUGGACGUGAGUGCUUAUACCUUAUCAAUGCUCCAGCUUCUGCUAUGUACUUCAAUUAUAAUGUUGAUCUUAUCUGGACUAACUGUUAACUAUUAUGCUCUUUACUUGCAGCUAAAACUAAUCAGUUAGCAGAUAUUGGCAUUGACUUUGAAUCCAUUAAUAGGAAGGAAAAGAGAAUGGAGAAGCCCACUAACACACCUGUAACAUCAACUGUAAAUAAUUGGCGUGUAAGGAUUUCCGUGAAGUAUGCCAUAUUAUCAUGCGAUCAUAUGUCCUUAAUUUUAUGUAUUAUAACCUUAUUUUACAAAAUCUAAAUUAGAUUUGUUGAUUUCUAUCCCCUCUACCAGGUUCUUGAUGCUAGUUCGCAUGAGCCAUGGGGUCCUCAUGGAACACUGCUUGCAGACAUUGCUCAGGUAGAAACCCGUAAGUUUUGGCAUCUAAAUUUUAUGCUAGAUAUUCUGCGUUUCACAGCAUAGACUCUCAUUUUUUCGUGUACCUGCAGUCAUGAAUACCAGAUGAUCAUGUCAGUCAGUAGUCUGGAAACAAAUUAACGACACUGGCAAGAAUUGGCGGUAUAUUUACAAGGUACUAAUUCGGAAUAUUUUAUGUUCUGGUUGUUGUUACUCCUAUUGCAUGGUUGCAAAUUAAGAACUGUUUUUUUCCCUUCUGCAGUGCAUCAUUAACUGAUUGAUCUUACUAUAUUAAAUAAUAGCUCUUUUCUUCGUUUCUGUAUUAACUGCUCACUGUUCAUUAACAGGCUUUGACAGUACUUGAGUACUUGGUGGCUCAUGGUUCUGAGAGAGUCAUAGAUGAGAUCAGAGAACAUUAUUAUCAAAUAUCGGUAAAUUUUUUUACUCAAUUUUUACCUAAUAUUUAUAUGCUGUUAGUCAAUUUCCACAAGGUCCCUAGUUUCGAUUAAAUGACCGUAAAGUAUUAUAAUGCAACCUGAUAAAAAUGUAAUAUUCCUAUCAACAGACUUUGUCCGACUUUCAAUAUAUUGAUUCCAGUGGAAGAGAUCAAGGAAACAAUGUCAGGAAAAAAUCUCAGAAUCUCGUUAUCCUUGUGAAUGAUAAAGAAAGAAUCGUAGAGGUCAGGCAGAAGGCUGCUGUUAAUAGGGAAAAGUAAGUCUCCUCUCAACAAUUCUACUGAUAUCUUGUACAUUGUUAUUUUCUAGUUAUAUAAAGCAUCAGGUAGUUUAUUAUUAUAGAUUUUCUUUUUAAUUUCCCUCAGUUUUGGAAAAUCCAUAAUCUGUCUUCUCUAUUUCUGGAUUAUAAAUCUAAAAGGAUUUAAAGGAUAUGCACUGUCAGAGUUUUACGCUGACAUCCAAUGAAAAUCCUUUAUUUUGCUACAACACCCAACUCUUGUAAUGUCAUUUUGAAACUGGUGGUAUGACAUGGAAAUUUUGUGGGUCUCGUUGGAUGUUAGUUUAAAACUAACAGCGUAUACAUCCAUUAUACUCAAUCUAAAAUCAGAACGAAAUAUUAAUUUUCUUAAACAAUUUACCAGGUUUCGCAAUAAUACACCAGGUGGAAUUUUAUAGACCUGGUUCACACUCAAGCAUUGGAAGCUAUGGUGAUUGAUAUGAAGAAGGUCGUUAUGCGAGCAGGGAGGAAGAUAGAAAUGCCUAUGGUUAUGGAAGAGAAAGAGAAAUGGGCUCAAGAGAUGAUGAUCGGUACAAUCGCGAUGGAGAUCGUUAUGGUAGAGAUUAUGAGGAGCGUUAUGGUAGGGAUGGUUACAGAGAUGAUGAUAAGGGAAGAAGUCGAAGUGUUGACUACAAUUAUGAUACAAGAAGCAGGAGUUCUGAUAGAGAGCGUGAUUUCGAUGACGAUGGCCAACACUCCUCUCGGUAAAGCCUAUAUAACAACUCUGAUAAAUUAUUCUUUUAAAUUUUAUCCAUAAAAUCCGAAAGAUGAUUUCUUUAAAAUGCUGGGCUAGGAAGAUCACGAGGUUAUAUACUUCAGAGUCUACACUGCACCACGUGGACAAAAACUAACGAGAAAGAAAACAUUUGAAAGAAUGAAUUUUUUGACAAACGAAACAAAAUUUGAGGGACUAAUUCACCAUUUUUAUUAAAUGUGAGACCAAAAUGAAAAGAUGAAAUUAAUUAAGGGAGCGAUAAGCCUAGAAUAAUAUAGCAAAAUUCUUACAAAUUGUCUUGGUAAGCAAGUAAGUAUGCAAGCAACACACACUCAGUCAACACGUGUUUAAAUCUGAACCGUGGAAAAUUAUCAGUGCUUCAAAUAGUAGUAUAUUGAGAGUCAGAGAGAAAUCGCAAAAUCGAAUUCUACUUCCGUCAACUUCAUCUUCAACAAACAACCAAAACCCUUUCCUCCUCUAACAAACACAAUCGAACAAUGGCUGAAGAGAAAACUCGUCCCCUUAGUCGUGAGCGUUUGAAAGAGUUGUUUAAGUUUUGCGGAGUGAAUUUAUUUGUUAUCGGGGUGGUUAUUAGUUGCAGGAGUCAAGCUCAAAGUGACACUUUCUUCCAAGAUGCUGAAGUGCAGUAUUACUUUGAGCUAUUCCUUUUUGGAUUUGAGAUCUUGUUCAAUGUGGCUCUAACCUUUGCAUAUUGGAUAACCCACCAAUGCAGUAUCUCAUACCUUCACUUUUCAUCAUACUCGGUCAUGGAUUCUUAGCCCACUGCAUGGUUAAUCUAUCCACUCUUCGACUUGCAAUCGGAGAAGAGAAAGAUCAACCACCUUGCCCUGCUUCCUCUCGCUCCGGUGAUUCCUUCCGCACCGACCUGUUACGUUGGUUACCCGCAAUUCUAUGUGUUUUCUCGGUUGUGGUUGUGUCUUUUUGGCGUUAUCAAUAUGGUGAUGUUGCUAAUGUUGGGAAAGGACCCAACAGUGCUGGUGCUGACUCUGGAGAACCUGAUGAUGUUGUGAAAGGACCCAACGGUGCUGGUGCUGACUCUGGAGAAGGACCCAACGGUGUUGGUUCUGACUCUAGAAAACCUGAUGCCGGUGGUAGUCAGGCUUGGAAAACCUGAUUCUGUUGUUGAAGUUCUUGUUGAUGCUCCUCGCUCGACUCAAAGAAUCCUCUCCUUCAAGCAAGAGUAAUCACUUAAGUUGGAAUUGGGUUUGUUUUACCCUUCUUUUGAAGUUAAUAAUCAUAAGCUACUUUAGUUAUUUUUCUUCAACUGAAUUUUGUUCUUCAUGAGUUUUAUGAUUUUGAAUUGGAUUCUUUAUGGAUUAUGAGGGUUUGUGUUACCCUUUUUUGGAAGUUAGGUUAUGUUAUUCUUGAUUGUGCUAUGUCAAAUUGACAUUGUUAAUUGUUUGCAAAUUAAUCAAUCCCACAAUCUAUAGGAAGGCUUCACAGUACUGGUAUUUUACUUUACAGUUGCAAUUUUCUUUGGAUCAUCCAAUCUAACAAGUUAAGGAGCAUCAUAAAAGAACAUUUAAGAACUAAAGUGUAUCAUAAGCUACAAUUAGAGCAUUAGAAAUCAGUAAUAAAGACAGUGGUUUCUGAAUUACAGAGAAAAAG
rnacentral:lncRNA from 1 species